GACGAACGCUAGCGGCAGGCUUAACACAUGCAAGUCGAGGGGCAGCACGUCUUCGGAUGGUGGCGACCGGCGCACGGGUGCGUAACGCGUAUACAAUCUACCUUUUACAGGGGCAUAGCCCGGGGAAACCCGGAUUAAUAUCCCAUGGUACUAUGAUAUGGCAUCAUAUUUUGGUUAAAGCUUCGGCGGUGAAAGAUGAGUAUGCGUUCUAUUAGCUAGAUGGUAAGGUAACGGCUUACCAUGGCUUUGAUAGAUAGGGGUCCUGAGAGGGAGAUCCCCCACACUGGUACUGAGACACGGACCAGACUCCUACGGGAGGCAGCAGUGAGGAAUAUUGGACAAUGGGCGAGAGCCUGAUCCAGCCAUGCCGCGUGCAGGAAGACGGCCCUAUGGGUUGUAAACUGCUUUAUACGGGAGAAACACCCCUUCGUGAAGGGCUUGACGGUACCGUAUGAAUAAGGAUCGGCUAACUCCGUGCCAGCAGCCGCGGUAAGUACGGAGGA
rnacentral:rRNA from 1 species